AAUCUUCCGCAAUGGACGAAAGUCUGACGGAGCAACGCCGCGUGAGUGAUGAAGGUUUUCGGAUCNUAACGCUCUGUUUUUCGGGANGAACGAUCUCCAUGUAAAUAAUGUGGAGAAGUGACGGUACCGAAGGAGGAAGCCACGGCUAACUACGUGCCAGCAGCCGCGGUAAUACGUAGGUGGCGAGCGUUGUCCGGAAUUAUUGGGCGUAAAGGGCGCGUAGGCGGGAUAGUCAGUCUGUUGUAAAAGUUCGGGGCUCAACCCCGUGAAGCAAUGGAAACUGCUAUUCUUGAGUGCAGGAGAGGAAAGUGGAAUUCCCAGUGUAGCGGUGAAAUGCGUAGAUAUUGGGAGGAACACCAGUGGCGAAGGCGACCACCUGGGCUAAUACUGACACUGAGGUGCGAAAGCGUGGGGAGCAAACAGG
rnacentral:rRNA from 1 species